AUAAUGUGUGCGGACAUAAAUAUGUUUGAUUGAAGAAACAAAGAUAAAGAUAUAAAAUAAAUUUGUUUGAAAUAGUUUUGAAGUGAAUUUAUGUACUUUCAAAAUAGAAGAGAUACGUCCUAUAUGUUCCCAUUAUCUGUCUUUUUUUUCCCGAGACAGUAACUAAAAGCUAUCAAUUUCCUUUCCAAGCAGCUAUAAAUCUUUGAAUCUGGCUGGCAAAAUCUGAUUUGGUUUAGGUUUGGCCUGUUUAUGCUGAUGGCAAACCAAGUUGUAAAUUUUGAAUCAUCUUUCAGAUUGCUUAUGAGACUUUUCACAUUUAUCUUAUGCAAAGUGUGUCUUUGACAUUAGAUUCUUUUAAUCUGAUGGAAUGGACUAUACAGAACUCACCAAUUUAUUGAUGAAAUAUCAUGCGGGAUACUGUGUGUUUUGACCUCUGGGUUGCUAGGUAGGGCACGCCAGGGGACAAGCUUGGUGAUAACUUGUUCAAAAUCUUAUUUUAAAAUGAGCAUGGUUGAUCCAUGCCCUACUCUUGGGGUGCUAAUAUGUAUUCGUGCUUGAUAUGAUGGAUGUUACGACUAACUGUGUACUAAAAAUUAUUUUC